AGUGAACGCUGGCGGUAUGCCUAAUACAUGCAAGUCGAACGGACACACAAUAAGCUUGCGCCCCUACGGGUAGCGGGUGACGGACGGGUGAGGCAUGCAUCACCUUCCUCUUUUUCGGGGAGGACAUCGUAGAGACACUGACGCUACUACCUCAUAUGAUCUACGGCUUAAAGCAGUAGUUCAUGACAGUUUUGCUGUUUCAUAUAGCCGAAGUCGCAUUAGCUAGUUGGUUUGGUAAAGGCUCACCAAGGCGACGAUGCGUAGCUGGUCUGAGAGGAUGAUCAGCCACACUGGAACUGAGACACGGUCCAGACUCCUACGGGAGGCAGCAGUAGGGAAUAUUCCGCAAUGGGCGAAAGCCUGACGGAGCAACGCCGCGUGAGUGAUGAAGGUCUUCGGGUCGUAAAGCUCUGUUAUUAGGGAAGAACAAAAGCGGAAGUAACUAUGCACGUCCUGACGGUACCUAAACAGAAAGCCACGGCUAACUACGUG
rnacentral:rRNA from 1 species